rnacentral:rRNA from 1 species
GAUGAACGCUGGCGGCGUGCCUAAUACAUGCAAGUCGAGCGAACGGACGAGAAGCUUGCUUCUCUGAUGUUAGCGGCGGACGGGUGAGUAACACGUGGAUAACCUACCUAUAAGACUGGGAUAACUUCGGGAAACCGGAGCUAAUACCGGAUAAUAUUUUGAACCGCAUGGUUCAAAAGUGAAAGACGGUCUUGCUGUCACUUAUAGAUGGAUCCGCGCUGCAUUAGCUAGUUGGUAAGGUAACGGCUUACCAAGGCAACGAUGCAUAGCCGACCUGAGAGGGUGAUCGGCCACACUGGAACUGAGACACGGUCCAGACUCCUACGGGAGGCAGCAGUAGGGAAUCUUCCGCAAUGGGCGAAAGCCUGACGGAGCAACGCCGCGUGAGUGAUGAAGGUCUUCGGAUCGUAAAAUUCUGUUAUUAGGGAAGAACAUAUGUGUAAGUAACUGUGCACAUCUUGACGGUACCUAAUCAGAAAGCCACGGCUAACUACGUG